GGGCCUAUAGCUCAUCUGGUAGAGCAACGGAUUUUUAAUCUGUUGGGUUUGGUUCAAGUCCAAAUGGGCUCU